rnacentral:rRNA from 1 species
GCGAUAAGGGGACUCCGAGUGCGAGGGCAUACAGUCCUCGCUUUUCUGCACCGUAAGGUGGUGCAGGAAUAAGUGCUGGGCAAGACCGGUGCCAGCCGCCGCGGUAAUACCGGCAGCACGAGUGAUGACCGCUAUUAUUGGGCCUAAAGCGUCCGUAGCCGGCCAGGCAAGUCCGUCGGGAAAUCCGCACGCCUAACGUGUGGGCGUCCGGUGGAAACUGUUUGGCUUGGGACCGGAAGAACCUGAGGGGUACGUCUGGGGUAGGAGUGAAAUCCCGUAAUCCUGGACGGACCACCGGUGGCGAAAGCGCCUCAGGAAGACGGAUCCGACGGUGAGGGACGAAAGCUUGGGUCACGAACCGGAUUAGAUACCCGGGUAGUCCAAGCUGUAAACGAUGUCUGCUAGGUGUGGCGCUGGCUACGAGCCAGCGCUGUGCCGUAGGGAAGCCGAGAAGCAGACCGCCUGGGAAGUACGUCUGCAAGGAUGAAACUUAAAGGAAUUG